AAAUUUAGGAUUGCUGGUAAGAAAUUGUUAAAAUGCUUUUUAAUCUAUAUUUAUUAGUUAUUUUCAAAUUAUACUUCAUUUUCUAUUUUCAAAAACUAUAUAGCAAACUACCAAAAUAUCAAUGCUCUUUUUACUAUCUUAGAUUUUUUUUUAUAGCAUCUUCAAGUCUUUCAAUUAGUGACGAGUUAGAAAAAGGUGAUUUUUUUUUAUAUUUACUGAUAAAACCAUAUCAAAGGAAAAUGAAAUAGAUUCUUAAAAGAGCAGAAAUAAAUAUUUUGAUUUUUGUUUUGAUAUUCCUUCGUUUCUUAUAUGUUUAGUGACUAAUUUGACUUGGGCAUGUUAUAGGAAGAGGUGAGAAUAAAAGAGAGUGAACUCAUAUUUUAUUGCCUUGAAAAUGUCAAAUACAAUAAGGUAUUUAUAACUGUAAAAAAAUCAUUGAACUUCUUAGAAGUGAAUUCUCCUUAUGGAUGGGAUCCAAAGCUAUAAUUUUAAAGUUAUUAUUUUUUCAACUAAGCCUUAAAGUUCUCAACAAAAACUUUUAACUUUUGAUUGAGAAAAUAUACCUAUGUUUUUCUACUGAAAUCAUCAAUGAAAAAGUAAGAAAUGCAUAUUUUUGCUAAAUCAAUGUGGAUUGAUUGGAUCACAUAUAUUGUUAUGUAAGUUAAAGUGGUUUGGUUACUCUUGAUGCAACUACUUUCAUAAAACUUCUUCUUGCAUGCUUUCCAAGAAGACAUGUUUCACACAAUUGAUUAGGAUUGUUGAUUGGAGGCAUCCAUUUACCAUCUCUAUUUCUCCCAAUCUUUUAAGGGCUCCAAAGUUUAAGUGUCCAAACUCUUCUUCUCACCUUAAAACACUUUACUUCAAUAGUUUUUAGAUUCAAGAUAAUUAUGUUUCUUGACAUAAGCACCUUAGCAAUCAAAUUUUAAUUUUGAUCUUCAAGCCACAAAUAUUUAUCUUUCAUGAGAAUCUCAUAUCCUUUUUCAACUUAUGACUUUCAUCUUUGGUGGAAAAGAUUAGAAUUGUACAUAUUCCUUCAAUUUGAACCUUCAAUGAGUCUUUGAAAUACAUAUUUUCUUUCACAUUCUCAUUAAGUUCCAAAAAAUUUCUCCUUGUAUCCACACAUAUGAUUGUUAAAAUCAUUGUCUAAGUACCACAAAUAACUUUAAACCCUAAACCCUAAACAAUUGACAUCCUUAUUUUCACCUUUUAGUUUUAAUAACAAAGUUGACUCUUCUUUUCAUUAACAAGAUUAACUUUUUCUUCCAUGUCAUUAAGACGACAUUUCGAAGAAAAAUGAUCAAGUUUGUGCAAUUGUAGCAAUCUACUUUAAAUUUCUCAUACCUUCUUUCAUUUUAAAAACAAUUAUGACCUCUUCCUAUUGCUCUUUCAUGGGCUCUUGAUGAUAAAUAACUUCUUUUCUCAUUGUUUGAAUAGUCGUUUCUAUGUAUUUUUCCUUCUUGUCCAUGACUAUGUCCUCUUCCUUGUCCACGUCCUUAUUCACUCCUAAAUCAUCCAUUAUUCUUUAAAGAAGCUUGAACUUUGAAGGUUUGCUCCAAUGACUGUUCUUGUCUCUUCAUUCUUUCUUCAUUAAAGAAGCUUUCUUCAUUCUUCCAUCACACAUACCACAUAAUUGAACGUUGGAGUCAAGAAACGAACAAUCUUCUCUGCCAUACGAACAUCUUCUAUUUUAUCUUCAUAUUUCUUUGAUUGAUUAACAAUUAUCUUUACUCUUGAGAAAUAAUUCGAAAUUGAUUCAGAUUGCUUCAUCUUCAUAGCUUCAAAGUCAUUCAUUAGUGAUUGGAGUCUUAUCUUAUUCACUUCGUCGACGUCUUGGAAGGAUUUUUCUAAGAACUCCCAAGCGACCUUUGACAUCAUAGUGUAGGCAACCUUCUCGAACAACGGUCAUCCAAACAUUGGUGGAUGAGAGUAAAAGUUUGUUGAUCCCUUUUUCUUAUUUUUAACAAAGUUUCCAUCUCAUAUUGAGAUAAGUUUUCUUCAUCUUGUGACUCUCCAUACCCUUUUUCUACAAUCUCUAAAACACAUUAAAAGCCUAGCAACAUUUUCGUGGAAAGACACCAUUUUUCAUAAUUUUCUUUUGGUAAGACGAGAAAAUUGAAAGAUAGUAAACACAUCAUUUCUCAUCACUCAACUCUCUAAAUCAAACCAAGUUCUUAAUAUCACUUUGUUAGAGGAAGAGUUGAGAAUAAAAUAGAGUGAACUCAAGUUUCCUUACCUUGAAAAUGUCAAAUACAAUGAGAUAUUUAUAAGUGUUAAUUAAUGAAAAAAAUUUAAAAUCUACUUUAGAAGAAUCUCUAAUUAAAACUUCACUAUAAAUUUCCUACACCCUUCUCUAUUUAAAAAGCUUCCAAAUUUGACUGAUAAAAACUCAAAAGUUACUUUAGAUAUUUCUUUAUUUAAAAUUAUAAAUAAGAAUGCAGUCCUCCUCCAUGAAAGUAAGGGUCAUUAUUAGGUUGAAGUGGACGUAGUUACCAAUCGUUUUCGUUGUUGUGUUGUCAUUUUUGUUGUAACUGAGUGGUUAACGUCUUGGCCUCACUCCCAUUUAUUUAUAUUCACCACAAAUCAAUUCAAAAUCGCCACCAGGCCUUUUAUUAUACACUGUUUCAUUCAUUCAAAAAUAGUAACCAUCAUAUCUACACCGUAAGAAUGUUACAAGCUUUAGCCAACAACUACUUCUUUUUAUAUUCUUUCUUUUCUGUUGCUGCUGAGAUAUGUUCCACACCAGUGAUUGAUUGUCUUUUCCAUGCUUUUCUCACCCCUUUGGACUCCUACAUUAAAAUAGAAAAUAGAAGUUAGUUAAACUUAAAAAAUUAUUAAAUACAAAUUAAUUUUUUUUUAAAAAUAAUUAAGUGUUAUUAUAUAUUCUUCUUAGCUUGUAUUCUUUAAGUGCAGUGAUCCAAAAUCAGUAGAGACAAAAUAGUGAUAUAUUUUCUACCAUUUUCAUGGACUCAUAAAGAUCUUCUAUUCUUCUAAGCUCAUUCUUUAGAGGAAUUUCAUUGUUCUGAGAUGAAUAGUUUCAUGUCUGUUAUGAACAAGUUCUCCAAGCAUUGGAAACAAAACACUUUCGUCAUUUCUAGAGACAUACAUCGGAAGUUGUCUUUUUCAAAAGCAUCAUUUCCAUUUAUUGCAAUAUUCUCAUUGGUAGGAUUAUAAAGCUUAUAGUUGCUAGAAAUUGAUCUAUAGCUAAUGUACAUACUUUUCAAUUUUGUCAUUUAAAUGUGAUUUCGUCUCUGCAAAACAUGAUUUGUCAUUCUUCCAAAUAUCGCAUAUGAGAAACACUAGGCCUUUUGUUUCUCUUUGGUUAUUAUUGCCUUUUAGCAUGUUCUUACCAUGUUGAGCAUGGAUGUACUCUUGUGUCCCAUAUUUUGUUCUACAAAAUAAGUAACAACAACAAAUGUCAUUAGUUUCAGAAUUUAGAAUAUUGAACUCUAUUGGAAUAUUAUACUAUCAUCCUAUGAGACUCUUCAAAGUAUUGAUGGAAAGUUCACUUUGUUGUUCAACUUGGCUUUGAGCUUUUAAAAACUUUCUUCAAAGUAUUGAUGAAAAGUUCACUUUGUUGUUCAACUUAGACUUUGAACUUUUAAAAAAUUUCAUAUUAAUGAAUGU
rnacentral:lncRNA from 1 species